UCCGAGUUGACCCCGGCAGUCUCCUACGAGUCCCCGGCAUGACCCGUUGGCAACUAGAGGCAGGGGUUUCGCUCGUUAGAGGACUUAACCCGACACUUCACAGCACGAGCUGACGACAGCCAUGCAGCACCUGUGCACUGGCCCCGAAGGGCUGCCGUAUUUCUACGACAUUCCAGUGCAUGUCAAGCCUUGGUAAGGUUCUUCGCGUUGCGUCGAAUUAAACAACAUGCUCCGCUGCUUGUGCGGGUCCCCGUCAAUUCCUUUGAGUUUUAGCCUUGCGGCCGUACUCCCCAGGCGGGGUGCUUAAUGCGUUAGCUUCGGCACGGAUGGAGUCGACACCACCCACACCUAGCACCCAUCGUUUACGGCGUGGACUAC
rnacentral:misc_RNA from 1 species